rnacentral:rRNA from 1 species
CAGCAGCCGCGGUAAUGCGAAGGGUGCAAGCGUUAAUCGGAAUUACUGGGCGUAAAGCGUGCGUAGGCGGUGAGUUAAGUCUGCUGUGAAAUCCCCGGGCUCAACCUGGGAAUGGCAGUGGAUACUGGCUCGCUAGAGUGUGUCAGAGGAUGGUGGAAUUCCCGGUGUAGCGGUGAAACGCGUAGAGAUCGGGAGGAACACCGAUGGCGAAGGCAGCCCCCUGGGCCAAUACUGACGCUCAUGCACGAAAGCGUGGGGAGCAAACAGGAUUAGAUACCCGUGUAGUCCCUGUCUCUUAUAC